CAUACCUAUUGCAAGGGAUAGGGUCGGUUCGGCCGGGUUUCACACAGGUGUUGCAUGGCUGUCGUCAGCUCGUGUCGUGAGAUGUUGGGUUAAGUCCCGCAACGAGCGCAACCCUCAUCCUUAGUUACCAUCAGGUAACGCUGGGGACUUUGAGGAAACUGCCAGUGAUAAACUGGAGGAAGGUGGGGAUGAUGUCAAGUCAUCAUGGCCCUUAUGGAGUGGGCUACACACGUGCUACAAUAGUGGCUACAAUGGGCCGCAAAGUCGCGAGGCUAAGCCAAUCCCUUAAAAGCCAUCUCAGUUCGGAUUGUACUCUGCAACUCGAGUGCAUGAAGUUGGAAUCGCUAGUAAUCGUGGAUCAGCACGCCACGGUGAAUACGUUCUCGGGUCUUGUACACACUGCCCGUCACGCCAUGGGAAUUGGUUUCACUCGAAGCU
rnacentral:rRNA from 1 species